UACGUAGGGUGCGAGCGUUGUCCGGAAUUACUGGGCGUAAAGAGCUCGUAGGUGGUUUGUCGCGUUGUUCGUGAAAUCUCACAGCUCAACUGUGGGCGUGCGGGCGAUACGGGCAGACUGGAGUACUGCAGGGGAGACUGGAAUUCCUGGUGUAGCGGUGGAAUGCGCAGAUAUCAGGAGGAACACCGGUGGCGAAGGCGUGUCUCUGGGCAGUAACUGACGCUGAGGAGCGGAAGCGUGGGGAGCGAACAGG
rnacentral:rRNA from 1 species